rnacentral:rRNA from 1 species
UACAUGAAGCUGGAAUCGCUAGUAAUCGCAGGUCAGCAUACUGCGGUGAAUACGUUCCCGGGUCUUGUACACACCGCCCGUCACACCAUGGGAGCCGGAAAUGCCCGAAGCCAGUGACCCAACCUUAGGGAGGGAGCUGUCGAAGGUGGAGCCGGUAACUGGGGUGAAGUCGUAACAAGGUAAC